rnacentral:rRNA from 1 species
UUAGGAAUCUUCCCCAAUGGGCGAAAGCCUGAGGGAGCGAUACCGCUUGAAGGACGAAGCCCCUCGGGGUGUAAACUUCUGAACUCGGGACGAUCAUGACGGUACCGAGGUAAUAGCACCGGCUAACUCCGUGCCAGCAGCCGCGGUAAUACGGAGGGUGCGAGCGUUACCCGGAUUUACUGGGUGUAAAGGGCGUGUAGGCGGUCUCUCAAGUCCGAUGCUAAAGACCAAGGCUCAACCUCGGGAAUG